GAACAUUCUUGUACAAUUGUUGAAAACAUUUCGAAAUUUUCAAAAGUUUUUCAAGUACUUUUAAAAAAUUCUCAAAGUUCUUUUUUGGUUUCUAUUCUUAUGAAACAAAUAGUCAAUAGCCGUGUGUUGCUUAAAAUCUGAGAAAAGGGGGAUAAAAAGUUUAUUGAAAAUAUUUUGAUUUGAGUUUAAAGGAGGAUUCCCUGAAAUUGUUUCAGGAACGUGGUAAAAGGCUAAAGAUUGUAAUGCGCUUAGCCUUGGCUACUUUCAUAUGCAUGUAGCAUAUUAAAAUAGCCAGAGUCAGUUGCCCCGGCACGUAAUCGGCAUCGGAAUCGGAGUUUGGAGCUGGAGUCGGGACCCAGGAUCCGGUAGCGAGUAGCUCAGGACCCUUAACUCAAAAUCAUUGCCAUAGAUCCCUGCCCAGUGGGUGGGCCGAUGGACGAUUGUGGGCCGUGCUGGGGAGGAAGAAGGCGGUUGUGGCUGAGAUAUUUACAGACUGUUUGUGCCGGAGAGGGCUACGUGACGGAGGACCAAAUUAAAUGUACUUGCUGAUCAUUCUAUUUCAUCAUACCAUAUUUCCCUUGCUUUAAAUAUACAUUUAUUCUAGUUUUCCAUAUAAAUCGAAUUUGUUUAUUCUGUCGCAAUUUACUAUAAUUUAAGAAACAAUUUGGAGCCCUUGCAAAUGAUGUCAGCACACAUUCCCUACUUAUGAUGCGGUUUAUUGACUUUCAUGAGAAGUUUCCUAUAGAGGUUACAGCUUGUUGAGUACGGGCUGCGCUGAGGUAGAGGGUCUUAAAGCUGGCCACAAUUGGAACUGUCGUAAUAGCUGAAAGUGCUACCAAUAAUGAAAAGCAAUACAAAAGCUGCCAAGGAUUAUUUACAAGCGAGGAGCUUAAAGCGAAAACCAAUUCAAAAAGAAACCAAACAAACAAACAAACAACAACCAAACAACGAACAACAAACGAACUGCCCCUCCCAGCCCACACUCUAGACCACCCCAAGUGGUGGUCGCUGUGGCAAGGGAAGGGCUGCGGCUGAGGAAUGAGGAAUGAGGGAUGAGGGCUCCAAGUAAUACGCGUGUAUAAAAGAAUCAAAAAUCUA